rnacentral:rRNA from 1 species
GGAAUUUUGCGCAAUGGGGGAAACCCUGACGCAGCAACGCCGCGUGACCGAUGAAGCCCUUCGGGGUGUAAAGGUCUGUCAGUGGGGACGAAACUUGACGGUACCCACAGAGGAAGCAUCGGCUAACUCCGUGCCAGCAGCCGCGGUAAUACGGGGGAUGCAAGCGUUGUCCGGAAUCAUUGGGCGUAAAGAGUUCGUAGGUGGUUUGUUAAGUUUGGUGUUAAAGGCGCAGGCUCAACUUGUGUAUGGCACUGGAUACUGGCAGACUAGAAUGCGGUAGAGGUAAAGGGAAUUCCUGGUGUAGCGGUGAAAUGCGUAGAUAUCAGGAGGAACAUCGGUGGCGUAAGCGCUUUACUGGGCCGUAAUUGACACUGAGGAACGAAAGCCGGGGUAGCAAAUG